UACGUAGGGCGCAAGCGUUGUCCGGAAUUAUUGGGCGUAACGAGCUCGUAGGCGGUUUGUCGCGUCUGCUGUGAAAACCUAAGGCUCAACCUUGGGCUUGCAGUGGGUACGGGCAGACUAGAGUGCGGUAGGGGAGACUGGAAUUCCUGGUGUAGCGGUGAAAUGCGCAGAUAUCAGGAGGAACACCGGUGGCGAAGGCGGGUCUCUGGACGGAUACUGACGCGGAGGCGCGAAAGCGUGGGGAUCAAACAGG
rnacentral:rRNA from 1 species